rnacentral:rRNA from 1 species
AGAAUCAACGCUGGCGGCGUGCCUAACACAUGCAAGUCGAACGAGAAAGUGGAGCAAUCCAUGAGUAAAGUGGCGCACGGGUGAGUAACACGUGACUAACCUACCCUUGAGUGGGGGAUAACCUAGAGAAAUCUGGGCUAAUACCGCAUAAUACCUUCGGGUCAAAGGAGCAAUUCGCUUAAGGAGGGGGUCGCGGCCGAUUAGUUAGUUGGCGGGGUAAUGGCCCACCAAGACUGUGAUCGGUAUCCGGCCUGAGAGGGCGCGACGGACGACGACUGGAACUGAAACACGGUCCAGACUCCUACGGGAGGCAGCAGUGGGGAAUUUUGCACAAUGGGGGAAACCCUGACGCAGCAACGCCGCGUGGAGGAUGAAGCCCCUUGGGGCGUAAACUCCUUUCGAUCGGGAAGAUAAUGACGGUACCGAGAGAAGAAGCCCCGGCUAACUUCGUGCCAGCAGCCGC